rnacentral:rRNA from 1 species
CCUACGGGUGACAGCAGUGAGGAAUAUUGGUCAAUGGGCGCUAGCCUGACCCAGCCACGUAGCGUGAAGGAUGACUGCCCUAUGGGUUGUAACCUUCUUUUACAUGGGAAUAAAGUGCAGUAUGUAUACUGCUUUGCAUGUACCUUAUGAAUAAGGAUCGGCUAACUCCGUGCCAGCAGCCGCGGUAAUACGGAGGAUCCGAGCGUUAUCUGGAUUUAUUGGGUUUAAAGGGAGCGUAGGCGGGUUGUUAAGUCAGUUGUGAAAGUCUGCGGCUCAACCGUACAAUUGCAGUUGAUACUGGCAUCCUUGAGUACGGUAGAGGUAGGCGGAAUUCGUGGUGUAGCGGUGAAAUGCUUAGAUAUCACGAAGAACUCCGAUUGCGAAGGCAGCCUGCUGGACUGUAACUGACGCUGAUGCGCGAAAGUGUGGGUAGCAAACAGGAUUAGAUACCCGUGUAGUC